GUAGGUGGCAAGCGUUGUCCGGAAUUAUUGGGCGUAAAGCGCGCGCAGGUGGUUCUUUAAGUCUGAUGUGAAAGCCCCCGGCUCAACCGGGGAGGGUCAUUGGAAACUGGGGAACUUGAGUGCAGGAGAGGAAAGUGGAAUUCCACGUGUAGCGGUGAAAUGCGUAGAUAUGUGGAGGAACACCAGUGGCGAAGGCGACUUUCUGGCCUGUAACUGACACUGAGGCGCGAAAGCGUGGGGAGCAAACAGGGAUUAGAUACCCUGGUAGUCCACGCCGUAAACGAUGAGUGCUAAGUGUUGGGGGGGGUUUCCGCCCCCUCAGUGCUGCAGCUAACGCAUUAAGCACUCCGCCUGGGAGUACGGUCGCAAGCUG
rnacentral:rRNA from 1 species